rnacentral:rRNA from 1 species
UACGGAGGAUCCAAGCGUUGUCCGGAUUUAUUGGGUUUAAAGGGUGCGUAGGCGGAUGAUUAAGUCAGUGGUGAAAGCCGGCAGCUCAACUGUCGAACUGUCAUUGAAACUGAUCGUCUUGAAUAUAGUAGAGUUAGGCGGAAUGUAUCAUGUAGCGGUGAAAUGCUUAGAUAUGAUACAGAACACCAAUUGCGAAAGCAGCUUGCUAUGCUAUUAUUGACGCUGAGGCACGAAAGCGUGGGGAUCAAACAGG